rnacentral:lncRNA from 1 species
AUGCACCAGCUAUUAUAUACGUUAGAGAAGGAGCAGAGCAUCUACAACACAGUAUUUCAUGAACUUACUCGACAAGUCAGUGUGGAUGUGCAGAUAGAAAAGAGCUACUGUCCAAAAUCAGAGAACUGUGUCUGGUUCAGUCACAUUAUAUGGAAUUAACAAAGAAACAGAGAAAGCCCACAAGGAUUUGGCACAAGCUGUUUUAGAUGCUGAAAAGAAUGCCAGGUGAGUUGCUUAAAGUUUAUGUAGCAUAUGUUGUGGAAAGUAUAUAUCACUUCUGAAGUAAUAUGAGGUCUGCCCAAAAAAGGUAUACAUCAAGAAAAGAAAAACUUGUAUAAAUAUUUUAAUACUAAAUUUAU